GUGCCAGCAGCCGCGGUAAUACGGGGGGUGCAAGCGUUGUUCGGAAUUAUUGGGCGUAAAGCGCGUGUAGGCGGUCUGAUUAGUCUGAUGUGCAAGCCCUGGGCUCAACCCAGGAAGUGCAUUGGAUACUGUCAGACUUGAAUACGGGAGAGGGUAGUGGAAUUCCUAGUGUAGGAGUGAAAUCCGUAGAUAUUAGGAGGAACACCGGUGGCGAAGGCGGCUACCUGGACCGAUAUUGACGCUGAGACGCGAAAGCGUGGGUAGCAAACAGGAUUAGAUACCCUGGUAGUCCACGCCGUAAACGAUGAGUACUAGGUGUUGCGGGUAUUGACCCCUGCAGUGCCGCAGCUAACGCAUUAAGUACUCCGCCUGGGAAGUACGGUCGCAAGACUAAAACUCAAAUGAAUUGACGGG
rnacentral:rRNA from 1 species